AAGCGUACACGGUGGAUGCCCUGGCAGUCAGAGGCGAUGAAGGACGUGCUAAUCUGCGAUAAGCGUCGGUAAGGUGAUAUGAACCGUUAUAACCGGCGAUUUCCGAAUGGGGAAACCCAGUGUGAUUCGUCACACUAUCAUUAACUGAAUCCAUAGGUUAAUGAGGCGAACCGGGGGAACUGAAACAUCUAAGUACCCCGAGGAAAAGAAAUCAACCGAGAUUCCCCCAGUAGCGGCGAGCGAACGGGGAGGAGCCCAGAGCCUGAAUCAGUGUGUGUGUUAGUGGAAGCGUCUGGAAAGGCGCGCGAUACAGGGUGACAGCCCCGUACACAAAAAUGCACAUGCUGUGAGCUCGAUGAGUAGGGCGGGACACGUGGUAUCCUGUCUGAAUAUGGGGGGACCAUCCUCCAAGGCUAAAUACUCCUGACUGACCGAUAGUGAACCAGUACCGUGAGGGAAAGGCGAAAAGAACCCCGGCGAGGGGAGUGAAAAAGAACCUGAAACCGUGUACGUACAAGCAGUGGGAGCACAGAGCAAUCUGUGUGACUGCGUACCUUUUGUAUAAUGGGUCAGCGACUUAUAUUCUGUAGCAAGGUUAACCGAAUAGGGGAGCCGAAGGGAAACCGAGUCUUAACUGGGCGUUAAGUUGCAGGGUAUAGACCCGAAACCCGGUGAUCUAGCCAUGGGCAGGUUGAAGGUUGGGUAACACUAACUGGAGGACCGAACCGACUAAUGUUGAAAAAUUAGCGGAUGACUUGUGGCUGGGGGUGAAAGGCCAAUCAAACCGGGAGAUAGCUGGUUCUCCCCGAAAGCUAUUUAGGUAGCGCCUCGUGAAUUCAUCUCCGGGGGUAGAGCACUGUUUCGGCAAGGGGGUCAUCCCGACUUACCAACCCGAUGCAAACUGCGAAUACCGGAGAAUGUUAUCACGGGAGACACACGGCGGGUGCUAACGUCCGUCGUGAAGAGGGAAACAACCCAGACCGCCAGCUAAGGUCCCAAAGUCAUGGUUAAGUGGGAAACGAUGUGGGAAGGCCCAGACAGCCAGGAUGUUGGCUUAGAAGCAGCCAUCAUUUAAAGAAAGCGUAAUAGCUCACUGGUCGAGUCGGCCUGCGCGGAAGAUGUAACGGGGCUAAACCAUG
rnacentral:rRNA from 1 species